GCCCCGGGAACCGGGGAAUCCCGGAUUCGGCUGCGGGCGCCCGGGCCUCCGCGACGGUGGCCGUGGCGGAAGAAGAAAGCUUCCUACUAACCGAGUCAGCAGGAACCGGAGCCCACGGAGGCCAAGCCUGCUUUACAGGGUAAGGAAUCUGAGGCCCAGAGAGGGAGGUGACUUUGCCCCAGGUCACACACUUGGCAGGAAAUAAGGGCAGAAGAAACCUCACCAACGACAGUGUGUGCAUGGAGCUAAGUCGAUUCAGUCAUGUCCCACUCUUUGCGAUUCCUGCAGGCUCCUCUGUCCAUGGGAUUCUCCUGGCAAAAAUUACUGGAGUGGGUUGUCAUGCCUUCCUCCAGGGGAUCUGCCCAACUCGGGGAUUGAACCCUCAUCUCUUAAGUCUCCUGCAUUGGCAGGAGGUUCUAUACCACUAGCGCCACCUGGGAAGCCCAAGGACAGUGCAGCCUGAGCCCCAAAGAGCUUUCAGGCCGCCCCCGAGCGUCCAGCUUCUAAAAUCCUUUCUACUGAAUAGGUGAUCACAUGCAUCUGCAACCCUCCUGACCCUCUGACCCACACCAAGAGGCUGAGGAGGAGCGCUAGUAAGUCCCCACUCUUGGCCUCAGGGCCUGCUGGGCUGAGUAGGACAGCCGCUUCCUUUUCAAAGCUGAGUUCUCCAUCUAUAACAUAGCGGGUGUUUCUCUGCCUGCCUUCUCGGGGGAUGUGAGAAGCCUGUGAAAUAAAGGAUGAUACAGAUAAGAUAGAAAAGCAGAAGAACAGGAGGGUCAGGGGCUUUUGUCGCAGUGGUUAUUUUUAUUUCCCAGCUCCGGAGCCCAGUCCAGGGGCCCUCAGCUGCAGGAAAGGGCUCUCUGGGCUCAAGUCCCUCUGUCUAACCCCCCCAGUGUGGACUGCACACUGACUGUCCCACCUUACCCUACAGCUCCUCUUGGCAAGCCUCUUCCGCACUGUGCCCCAGCCAGGGAAGACAGGAAGGCUCCUCUGUCGGUGCUGGCAUUCUGGGCUCCAUGGACCCUGCUACUGACGCGUGUCCACAAGGGUGAACCCCAACGAGGUACGAGGCAGGAGGGAAACAUGCCACCACUUCCUCAUCCUCCAACAUGGACACCCAAGGGAGAUCAGGGCCAGGGAAAGAGACCCCCAAGCAUGGCUGAGCUAUACGAGAAUGUGUAG
rnacentral:lncRNA from 1 species